GAUGAACGCUGGCGGCGUGCCUAAUACAUGCAAGUCGAGCGAACAGACGAGGAGCUUGCUCCUCUGACGUUAGCGGCGGACGGGUGAGUAACACGUGGAUAACCUACCUAUAAGACUGGGAUAACUUCGGGAAACCGGAGCUAAUACCGGAUAACAUGUUGAACCGCAUGGUUCAACAAUGAAAGACGGUUUUGCUGUCACUUAUAGAUGGAUCCGCGUCGCAUUAGCUAGUUGGUAAGGUAACGGCUUACCAAGGCAACGAUGCGUAGCCGACCUGAGAGGGUGAUCGGCCACACUGGAACUGAGACACGGUCCAGACUCCUACGGGAGGCAGCAGUAGGGAAUCUUCCGCAAUGGGCGAAAGCCUGACGGAGCAACGCCGCGUGAGUGAAGAAGGUCUUCGGAUCGUAAAACUCUGUUAUUAGGGAAGAACAAAUGUGUAAGUAACUAUGCACGUCUUGACGGUACCUAAUCAGAAAGCCACGGCUAACUACGUG
rnacentral:rRNA from 1 species